rnacentral:rRNA from 1 species
UACGUAGGGGGCAAGCGUUGUCCGGAAUCAUUGGGCGUAAAGGGCGCGUAGGUGGCGGGACAAGCGUGCGGUGAAAGCCUGGGGCUCAACCCCGGGUCGGCCGUGCGAACUGUUUUGCUUGAGCACUGUAGAGGCAGGCGGAAUUCCGGGUGUAGCGGUGGAAUGCGUAGAGAUCCGGAAGAACACCGGUGGCGAAGGCGGCCUGCUGGGCAGUAGCUGACACUGAGGCGCGACAGCGUGGGGAGCAAACAGGG